rnacentral:rRNA from 1 species
UACAGAGGGGGCAAGCGUUGUUCGGAAUUACUGGGCGUAAAGGGCGCGUAGGCGUCCUGUUAAGUCGAACGUGAAAUCCCCGGGCUCAACCCGGGAACUGCGUCCGAUACUGGCAGGCUUGAAUCCGGGAGAGGGAUGUGGAAUUCCAGGUGUAGCGGUGAAAUGCGUAGAUAUCUGGAGGAACACCGGUGGCGAAGGCGGCAUCCUGGACCGGUAUUGACGCUGAGGCGCGAAAGCCAGGGGAGCGAACGGG